GAUGAACGCUAGCGGCAGGCUUAAUACAUGCAAGUCGUGGGGCAGCAGGGGUGUAGCAAUACAUCUGCUGGCGACCGGCAAACGGGUGCGUAACACGUACGCAACCUUCCCGUUACUGUGGCAUAGCCCAGGGAAACUUGGAUUAAUACCACAUAUUAUAUAGAGAGGGCAUCCUUUUGAUAUCAAAGCUUCGACGGUAACGGAUGGGCGUGCGGUUGAUUAGGUAGUUGGCGGGGUAACGGCCCACCAAGCCUACGAUCAAUAGCUGAUGUGAGAGCAUGAUCAGCCACACGGGCACUGAGACACGGGCCCGACUCCUACGGGAGGCAGCAGUAAGGAAUAUUGGGCAAUGGACGAAAGUCUGACCCAGCCAUGCCGCGUGAAGGAUUAAGGUCCUCUGGAUUGUAAACUUCUUUUCUCUGGGGCGAAAACCAGCUAUUCUUAGCUAUUUGACAGUACCAGAGGAAUAAGCACCGGCUAACUCCGUGCCAGCCGCCGCAGUAAAAC
rnacentral:rRNA from 1 species